AUGACUGUAAUACCCUUAUGUCAAUUAAUAUGUUAAAAUGUAGCCAUUUAAAAUUAUCGUUUUGUCUAUUUUUAGCACCUCAUCUUUCUCCUCUCUUCUUCCUCUCAGUUUUCUCUCUCCUCUCCACCUCAUCUUUUCCACCCAUCGCUGCAUCUGUGAGCUUCAGUUUUGGUCGUCGAUGGAGUACGUCGAAACCGAAGUCACCGCCGAAUAUAACUCAACCCCUUCAGCAAAUUCACCGUCAUCAUCCUCAUCACCACCUGAUACCCAACACACCAAGCCAAGAUCAUCUAAAGAACCCAACCUAUCAUAAUCUCCACAUUUGACAGACAACGACAUCAGCUCUCUGGGCUCAAUCUCUCCGGUGUCCUUGCCUCCCACAUGGGUCACCUUUGCCAAUCAAUUAUACGGUCCACUGCUGCCCAAACAUCAUCACCGAGUUCCUCGUUCGCCGGAAGCUUACUGUAACAGGCAAACUCAACCCCUUCUUCCAAGUUCAUCAUCACCAACCACUCGCCCACACGCCAGAUGCUCCUGUGAGUAAAUCUGACUCGCCCUUCACGCGCCCUCGCGCUCCUUCUUCUACAACGUUUUUCCGGUGCUCUUCCAUCUGUCGCCAAUGUUAACCACCUCCUUCACGAAACCGUCCCAAGUUGCAGACAAGCUUCCGAUGAUCACCACCUACUGCCGGUGCUUACCACCAUCUUGUGUGACCCAGCCGGAAAAUCAUCAUCUCUUCACGCUCUGUCUUACCCGGAUUCGCGUAGUGGGUUUGCUAGUGUUGCGAAACAUCACUUCUCUCUCCGAAGGAUGUCGCCUGUAACGGUGGUGGGGGUGAUGGCCUGUAAUGGUGGUGGGAGGAAUGGCUCAUUGGUGGAGAUGAGACAGAAGGAAGAGAGAAGAAGAUGAAAUUAUGUAAUAUCGGAUUUUCAGAUUUAUUUUUUUGCCAAAAAGUGAUUAAAGGGCUUAUUUGCAUAUUUUUUAAAUAUUAUAGACUGAAAUGCAUAUUUUUAAAAAAGAUGGACUAAUAUUUGUUCACAUAAUCUAUAUUUUAGGAGGAUUUUUUGCACUUAACCCUUUAUAAAGUGAGUGGUUAUAGAUUUUUUUUUCCAUUUAUAACUAAAAAUAUUAAAAUAUAUAAUAUCAUUAUUAUUGUUGACAUUUUUGCCAUUGUGCUCUCACAAUACUUUAAUUUUUAUUUCUUUCCAUUCUCUCAGGAUAUGUUGAUAGAGAUUUAUAUAUAAUUAUAUUUUUAUAUCUUAUCUUAUGUUAUGCAAUUGUUAGUGUAAUGUUUGUAAUUUAUUUACAUAUGUAUAUAUUUGUAGUGGAAAAAAAAAAAUUUAAAAGAAAAAGAUUUUUCAUUUGUGCUGGGACCCACCGCUAACAUUAAUUUGUGGCCAAGAGACCAAUUUGGUCUCAUUUCUUCUCUCCCCGUAAGCUCUCUCUUCCCCUCACUUUUUUUUUUUUUUUUUUUUCUCUUUUUCUUUUGAUCUCAAACUUCACUCUUCAAUUACUUUAUCAAUUGUUGAAAUUUUUGGGUGCCGUUUGCGGCAAAUCGGAGAGCACGGCGCGAUCCACACGUUGAUAUAAGCAAUUCCUCAUUUGGUGCACUUUAGGGAUUUCGAAUUUUUAGACCCAUUUGAGAGUUUUUGUAUCUAAGUGAGGUCACGGGAAGGAAGUAGCAGAUGACGUUCCUCUAUAGGUUUGAAUGAGUUAGUGGACUAUUUUAUUAUCUUUUAUAUUUGAGAUUUCAUUUGUUUUGUAUAAGUUUUGGGAUGACACGUACAUUAUGUGUCGGUUUUAGAACUUACCAUAGUGCCUUUAGAUGAUCUCGGAUUCGGGUAAGAACCCGAUUAGUGAUUCAAACCCUCGGGUUCGGGUCGUUACAGUUAGGCAGGAAGAUUGUCCGAUUUUUUUUUUUAGUUUCAUAUACAUGUAGUUAUGCGUUCGUCUAACUUCACAGUGAGAAAUAAAAGAUAAGUGAAGAGGGACGGAACUAAUGAAGGUCCCCUGAGUUGGCCCGCA